AUGAAGGUGGCCUCCGGAGACCCCGCUGAGUUCCGGAGGCGCGAGGAGACGUUGACCCUGGAAGCCGCAGAGCGCGCUCACGAGUACGAGCGGCUGGAGACGAGGGAGCGCCUGGUGACACGGGCGGAAGACGAUGUUGCCGCUCGGGAAGCGCGUCUUCUGGAAGAAGUUGGCCGUCGGGUGGCGAUAGCGCGUCGAAGCAUUGAGCACGAGUUUGAGGGGAGGCUGGAGCUGAUCCGGAUCGAGGCCGAGGGGAGAACCGCGGCCCUGAGGACCCAACGGGACGAAGCGAUGCAGCGGGCCGACGCCUCCCAGGCCGCUCUCGAGGCGGCACGAAAGGAGUUGACCGCUUCUCAAGCCGAGGUGCUCCUCCUCCGUCAGCGUGUGGAGGAUGCUGAGGCCGUUGGGCGCCGGAACACCGACGAGAUACGCCAGCGGCAGGUCCUAGAGCAUGUGCACGCUCCCAUGCUCGCCGUACUCAGGGCGCGGGCCAACGUGGCCUUGGGCAAUAUCUGCGAGGCGGCUGUUGACGAGCCGCGCACGACCAACUACGCCGGCAACGUGCAGUUCUUCACUGCUGUGGUGAUGCAGUUGGAGGAGCGAUCGGGCAGGGCAGGUAGGUUGGUGGAGGAGAGGAGCCGCGCCUUGCUCAAGCGCGCCUUCUCCCGUGUCUUCAGCCAUCUUCAGAACGAGAACCCCCACUUCGACUUCAACGCCGCCAUUGCCCCAGUCCCCCAGGCCAUCUGA
rnacentral:rRNA from 1 species